GGUCACAUGGUGUAAGGGGCCAUACUUGGGACUCUGAAUCCUACAAGCUGAGUUCAAAUCUCAGUGGGACCU
rnacentral:tRNA from 1 species